GAGUUUGAACAUGGCUCAGAUUGAACGCUGGCGGCAGGCCUAACACAUGCAAGUCGAGCGGCAGCACGGGGAGCUUGCUCCCUGGUGGCGAGCGGCGGACGGGUGAGUAAUGCAUGGGAAUCUGCCCGGUAGUGGGGGAUAACCCGGGGAAACCCGGGCUAAUACCGCAUACGUCCUACGGGAGAAAGCAGGGAUCUUCGGACCUUGCGCUAUCGGAUGAGCCCAUGUCGGAUUAGCUUGCUGGUGAGGUAACGGCUCACCAGGGCGACGAUCCGUAGCUGGUCUGAGAGGAUGAUCAGCCACACCGGGACUGAGACACGGCCCGGACUCCUACGGGAGGCAGCAGUGGGGAAUAUUGGACAAUGGGGGAAACCCUGAUCCAGCCAUGCCGCGUGUGUGAAGAAGGCUUUCGGGUUGUAAAGCACUUUCAGCGGGGAAGAAGGCAUGGCGGCUAAUACCCGCCAUGAAGGACAUCACCCGCAGAAGAAGCACCGGCUAACUCCGUGCCAGCAGCCGCGGUAAUACGGAGGGUGCAAGCGUUAAUCGGAAUUACUGGGCGUAAAGGGCGCGUAGGCGGCCUGCCAAGCCGGAUGUGAAAGCCCCGGGCUCAACCCGGGAACGGCAUUCGGAACUGGCAGGCUAGAGUGCAGGAGAGGAAGGUGGAAUUCCCGGUGUAGCGGUGAAAUGCGUAGAGAUCGGGAGGAAUACCAGUGGCGAAGGCGGCCUUCUGGACUGACACUGACGCUGAGGCGCGAAAGCGUGGGUAGCAAACAGGAUUAGAUACCCUGGUAGUCCACGCCGUAAACGAUGUCGACCAGCCGUUGGACCCCCUGAGGGUCUGGUGGCGCAGUUAACGCAAUAAAUCGACCGCCUGGGGAGUACGGGCCGCAGGGUAAAACUCAA
rnacentral:rRNA from 1 species